AUACGGAGGGUGCAAGCGUUAAUCGGAAUUACUGGGCGUAAAGCGCGCGUAGGCGGAUAUUUAAGUCUCAUGUGAAAGCCCUGGGCUCAACCUGGGAACUGCAUGUGAUACUGGGUAUCUAGAAUACAGUAGAGGGUAGUGGAAUUUCAGGUGUAGCGGUGAAAUGCGUAGAGAUCUGAAGGAACAUCAGUGGCGAAGGCGACUACCUGGACUGAUAUUGACGCUGAGGUGCGAAAGCGUGGGGAGCAAACGGGAUUAGAUACCCUAGUAGUCC
rnacentral:rRNA from 1 species